rnacentral:lncRNA from 1 species
UAAUUUGAAUUGCCAACUCUGACAAUUGAUUGGGGUAGGGUCGUUAAUUUCUCUUUCUUCUAUGGCCAGAACUGAUUCUGGCCAAAAAAACUUCAACCGUAAUUGUAGAGGAAUUAAUCAAUAUAAAUCUACAGCUUAUUGUUGUUUAAGAGUCCCAAUUUCUCCGGGCAUGAAAUUCUUAAAAUUUCACAUUCUGCAACGGAAUUGUGGACAAUUUGGUACUGAUGAAUUUGGAUCCAGCUACAACGAAAUUGGCAAUUGGGUUUUUAGGGCUGCAUUUCAGCAUUUGGGUUUCAUUUCAUAUUGAGAAUCGUGAUAUCCUGGCACCCGAAACCUCUAGUUGAAAAAUUCACAUAUGUGGCAGGCGCUAGUGGUGAACGGUGGCUGUGGUAUGCGGUGGCCGUGGCCAUGACGGCGACAGCGGUGCGUGGGUUUUGAUCGGGUACGUGGGAUGGAGUUGGGGGAUGAGCUUUGCGAAGAUAUGUUUUUUCUUUUUCUUUUUUUAUUCUGUUGGAAAAAUAUAAAAUUACAAUUUUGUCCUUUCAAAUUUUAUCAAAAUAGUGUUAAAUUGAUUUUUUUUUUUUUUAGGUUGAUUGAACGGUCAAAUGUCCAUUUGUCAUCCAGAUGCAAUCGACAUGAAAUGUUUGGGACUGUGUGCAAAAAUAAAAGAUUUGGAUAUAUUCUGUAACUAAUUGAAAGGUUUGGGACCCCAAGUGCAAUUUUUGCCUAUCUUAAAUAAAGCUGAGCUUUGAGGAACAUAUUACGAUACAGACAAAUUAUGUAUGGCCAAAUUUAAGAGUUGAUCUAAAUAUUGCCCUUGUUUGAGCCCUAUUUUUGGGGGAAAAAAUGAUUUUUUGAAUAGUGUACUGAUUAAAAAUGUGUAGUUAAAAAUAAGGAAAAGUCCUAGAUUU